GGGGGUGUACUGGCUUCGACAUACAUAAAAGGGUAUAAAUUGCAGUGGUCUUGUAAACCUUAAUACAACUUCUUUACUAAACGGAAAAGAAAACAAAAAAGAAGAUUAUUCAUUAUUAAUGAAUGCUUCUACUCAAUCAAAUCUAGCUUUUGCUUUUUAAAAGUUAGUAGACCAACUUACUUCUCAUAGGUUGCAAUCUUCAUAUUAGAGAAUAGUUAAAAAACUGAUCAUUUUUUAAUGAAUUUAUAGAUCACAGGCUUUUUAUCUUUUUGUUAUUUUAGUUAAAAAGUUUUUUAAAAAAUAACUAAACUGUAGUAAUUUAUAUUUAAUUAUGCGUGGACCCGGGUUCAACUCCCGGCAUCUCCACCA
rnacentral:tmRNA from 1 species